ACUUUUAACUUAUUUUUCAUUAUUUCACAAUGAAACCGUAUUGAUGCAACAAUUGACAAUAAUCUUUUACAACAAUGAUUUUAGAAUUUUAGAAAAAUUAUCAUGGCCAGAUUGAAUAUAUUACAAAAAAAAUUAUAACACCACAACUAAAAAAUUAUAAAUAAAACUUUAAUUAAAUAACAUAAAAAUAUAAACUAAAAAAUUAAAACUAAUAAAAUAUUUACUCAAAAUUAUUAUAUCUUAUAUAUUAAAAGAGAAGUCAUAACUUUUUUGAUGUGUGAUAUUUCACUUUGGACUGGACCAUCCCUAAAAAAAUUAUUUAUGCUCAAGUGAUAUAACAUUGAUUAUAAAAUCAACAAAAAAAAUCAUAAUUAUAUCACAUUUGCAUAGUUCCCAUUUCUUCUUUUGAUCUUUUGCAUACCCAGCCUAGGUCAUCCAUGGAUGUUCAAGCCGAAAUACAGGCUAUACAGCCUAGCUCAUUCAUUAGGCACUUUUCCUUUGAAUAUGUGCAUCCAACUUCGUUUAUAUUUAAUGGGUUUGAUCUUGCAAGUGUCUGGGAUUAAGGUUGAUCGAUUUAAUGAAAUUUGAAUAUUUGGUGGUUGGGUAGAUCUUGAUCUCGAGAUUCACCGAGAAUCAAAUCUAUACAGAGAUCACUUCAGUAAGCUGUUGGUUUAUCAUUGUUAUUUGAUACAGUAUGAAGUUUAAUCCCAGCUGUUUCAUAUGGUAUUUGUUCCUAUGGCAUUGGUCUUUAUUAACGAAGCGGUGAAGCAGUAUCCACACUCGAUAACUCGUCUAACAAUUCAAAUAUUGAUGCUUAUCAACUAUUAAAGUUAUCUCUGUUCGUCAAACUACAUUUACUUUAUUUUCCCCCAAAAUGCUAAUUAUGAAUUAGUCUUGGUUUUGCUUUUCGUUGGACUGUGUUAGCAAAUGGCUACUUUAUUGCUUAAUAGAAAAAAAAAAUACAUUACAGCCAAAGGAAUCGAUCUGGCCACUGCCAAAAUGCUUCUCCAGGUAGCUCAUGUACCACUGACAGCUGCAGAUUUUGUAAUUUCAGCUUCUGAAGAUUUUUCUUUUGAUCUUUCCGGACCAUGUACUUUGUGCUGGUUGAGAAGUCUGAUGCAGAAGACGGGCUUUCCUCCAUCAAGACAAUGUUCUAUAAUAGCCUUUCCUUCCCUACCAUUUUUUGCCUUCCUCAUCGUAAUUACAUGACUUUGUGAGGGCUCUCCUUUUAUGCAAUUUUUUGGGUGCUGCGUAAUACUGAGAGCUUAUAGCUUCUGAUUGUUCUUACUUUGGAUUCCUGAACGACUCCAAAAAUGCUUCUUAAAGUUCCUUUGUGAUUAGCCUUUUUGCCUUCAAAAGUUUCACAAUUUGGAUUCACCUUUUGAAUACCCUUUGUGUUUUUUAUGAUGACUAUGUAUGAAAAACAAUACUCAAGCUGAUUAAUUACAGCUCCUUAAUCU